UUCCUCUCUACUCGGUUACAUAGUUUAUGAGGACCUUGGAGGACAAACAGAAACGUCCUGUCCUUUGGCCGCUUCGUUUCUUGUUUAAAUGUCUGCAUUUGUAAUAGUCACUAUGUCUAGCAACUAUAAUGAACCUCAUAAAUGUCAUUACGCGUGAUGUUUACGCCGUACGAGGACCACGCGGUGUUUACUGACGCGAUGCAAGUAACAUAGUUGAAAAAUCAGUCCCAGCUGCAGAUAUCAAAAAGGAUUUUUAAACGGGAGGCAUUCUAGUUAAAAAGAGGAAGAUGGAGAAUUAUCGAUCCCUUAUCCCGAAGGUGUCCGCCGUAUGCAGAUGUCCCAAAGGUGCACCAGAGAAGGGUCCUGAGAGCAUCGGGGUGGUGGCCGAGCCCUACACCCACAUUGUUGGAGAAGAGCUCCAUCUUCAGGAGCCAGACUGGAGCAGAUACAAGAGCCCUCCAGCAUACGAACACAUGUGAACAUCCUUUAUGAGAUUACAGUCGAACCUCAGAUGCUGCCCAGCACACAGAGAUCAUAUCAUAUAUGGCAGACAUCCACCUUUGUCAUCUCACUGAGGCAAGUUUGUUCUCCUCUGUUAUUGUCAUCAGUGCAUUCUUGCCUUCAGUAAGUGCAUGUAUCGCUCUUAAAAGGGUAGUU